CGAGGAAAACAGGUCCAGAUGGAAGAACCCAGGAAGCCUGGUUUCCAGGCGCAGGGGCGGGGGCAGAGACAUCCCUCACGUUUCUGAACUCUCUGCCCCUGAACAACUAGGCCCGCUGCUGCAGAUCCACGCUGGCAGCCUCUUCUCAAGAUCUAUGCCCCCCGAAUAUGCCAUCCUUAACAAACCCCGGGAAGAACUUCCACAAAGAUCAUCUGAGACAGGGACAGGGUCCCUUUCUCAGCCUGGACUCGGAGGAGCUCUGUGGUUCUGGCUCUGAGUCAGGUCAUAUCGUCCGGGCGUCCCCAGUGCCACCUCGCUACGCCCCGCCCCAGACUGGAAAAUCAGGCUCAUGCCUCUGCCCGAGUCAGUGCUUCCCCUGCUUCCCCUCACGAUCUCGCUUUCCCCUAAAGGGAGGUAUUUCCUCGAAGCUGGGAAAAGUCAAGGGGGCAGAGACCCGCCAGUUACCGGGAGGCAAGAGCUCUUCCAGAAUCAAAAUUUGGUCCUGCAGAUCCUCGCUCUUGGCAGCCCGGGGGUCUUAAACAGAUUCCCUCCCUGGCCUCCCCAAAGGUUGGGGGCUUCAGGAAUCAGUGAGGAAGAAGGCAUGAAAAAUGACCCCAUGAGCCCCACGAACCCCACUCCUGGAUCCUGGAUGAGGGCAGGGCAGUUUGGGGAAACGGAACCCUGGCCGGGGGCGGGGGGGCGACCUCAGCCUGUGCCCACCUGCCGCCUGGGGGCGGGGUGGGGAGAACGAGGGAGUGAAACAGGAAGAGAGAUGGAGAGACAGAGAAUGAAAGCCAGAGAGAGAAACUGAGAUGAUGGACAGUCAGAAAGAGAUUGAAGGGCAGAACCGGGCGGAGUGGGCACUGGGAGCUGAAGUGUGGCAGUGAGUUGGGGGCGCUGGCAGCAGGGGUCUUCGCUAGCAUCACCGAUGCACAAAAGCUCAGUGCUGAAAGGGUGCAAGUCUUUCAUCUCAAGAAGGGGACAUCAAGGCUUAGUGAUGGAAUCACUAAAAGGGAGAACCGAGCUCAGAAGAACCCACCCCCUUGCCUCCCAGACCUUUUUUUUUUUUUUUAAGCCCAGAAGGGUUUCCAGAGCACCAGGCACUGGAGACCUUCAGGUCAGCCAGCACUUCCCACCUUCUCUGGGGUGGGGCUGGAGGCCGUAUUACAGCAGAAGACUGGAGAUGGAUGUGAAUUUGCAUGGCAAACGCACUUCUUCCUUUGAGCUGCUACAGGUCAAUAAAUAUAGCAGACCUUUC
rnacentral:lncRNA from 1 species